UACAGAGGGUGCGAGCGUUAAUCGGAAUUACUGGGCGUAAAGCGUGCGUAGACGGUUAUUUAAGUCGGAUGUGAAAGCCCCGGGCUCAACCUGGGAAUUGCAUUCGAGACUGAAUAGCUAGGGUGCGGUAGAGGGAAGCGGAAUUUCCGGUGUAGCGGUGAAAUGCGUAGAUAUCGGAAGGAACAUCAGUGGCGAAAGCGGCUUCCUGGACCAGCACCGACGUUCAGGCACGAAAGCGUGGGGAGCGAACGGG
rnacentral:rRNA from 1 species